GACUAUAAUAGAAUCGCAGAAAAGCCUAAAACUCGGCCAACCCUAAUCUAAAAUCAAAAAAAUCAAUCGCUACAACAGAGUUCAUAGUUCAUACUGUCGCCGGUCGAUCUGCUUCAGCAUUCAAGCCUUCAACCAACCGACGGUCGUCGCCUUCAACCCGCCGACAAUUGUCCCUGGUUCUUCAAAUCUAUCUUAAAGGCAGACCCAGAGGUAAGCUCUCUUAUUCAAAAUCAAUUGUUGUUCUGGUCUUGAUUUUAUAUGUUGUAGGAGAUGGCAGGAACUUUGAAGUUAAUGGAGGCUGCAUCUACAGACGCAAAAACAAAAGCCGAAUUACAGCCACAAUCUUGAGCCAAUAUUCGAGGAAAAAGUGAUCCAGCCUUGGAAUAUGCUAUGUUUACCAAUGGAAAAACUUAAUUGCACAUUCUGACCACACAUUGUUGGUGGUGGGGGAAUUAGCAUAUUCAAGCUUCACUUGGCUGAAGUCAAACUGAAUAUGAAGGCAUGUACCAGUGUUCUUAUUCAUAUAUGUGAAGGAAUGUUGAAGCACUUGGAUGGAAAUGCAAAAAAGACCAAAACUAUUGCAGCACAUAAGAGAUGUUUCAGUGAUCUUGCUAGAGAGGAUGGUAGCUCCGAAUAGAUAGUACAGAGGCCUCAACUCCAUGAAGCACGGAUGAGUUUCCUCUCAUUCAUACACCCAAUGCUUGUCCUAGACCAGGAAGUUCAUUGAGACAACCAUAAAUAAAAAAUGAUCUAAGAGGGCAGGAAGCUGCUUUGAGAAUAGACUGGAUAGUUGUUAGGUUCUAGAAUGAACAUUAUCUUCCCUUUAAUAUUGUAUCUUCUCAUAGCUUUCACGUCUUGAUAAAUACCAUUUCUAG
rnacentral:lncRNA from 1 species